UGAAAUUUGCAAUAAAGGGUUUCAGAGAGACCAGAAUUUGCAGCUUCAUAGAAGGGGUCACAAUCUACCUUGGAAGCUAAGGCAGAGAUCAAGCAAUGAGGUGAGGAAGAGAGUGUAUGUUUGCCCCGAAACUACGUGUGUUCACCAUGAUCCUUCACGGGCAUUAGGCGAUUUGACUGGGAUCAAGAAGCAUUUCUGUAGGAAACACGGUGAGAAGAAGUGGAAAUGUGA
rnacentral:misc_RNA from 1 species